UUGCCGUGGUGUGGGCAUGCUUGGAUGUAUUCUUGGAAACGUUCCCAAACUUCUAGGAUAGUCUCAUUCGGUAAUUGUUGAAUUCCAGAGAUCCUGUUCUGGAGGGC